UAAGAUUAAAAUUAUCGGUUUUUUACCGACCAAAAUAACGGAGAUAUGAAUGGCUCGUAUUGCAGGAAUUAAUAUACCUGAU
rfam:Cycloclasticus sp. symbiont of Poecilosclerida sp. M isolate specimen M Ga0097675_1230, whole genome shotgun sequence.